UACGGAGGGUGCAAGCGUUGUCCGGAUUUAUUGGGUUUAAAGGGUGCGUAGGCGGCUUUUUAAGUCAGUGGUGAAAUCCUGCAGCUUAACUGUCGAACAGCCAUUGAUACUGAAGAGCUUGAGUACAGACGAGGUAGGCGGAAUUUAUAGUGUAGCGGCGAAAUGCAUAGAUACCAUAAAGAACACCUAUUGCGAAGGCAGCUUACUAGGCUGUAACUGACGCUGAGGCACGAAAGCGUGGGGAUCAAACAGG
rnacentral:rRNA from 1 species